rnacentral:rRNA from 1 species
AUUGAACGCUGGCGGCAUGCCUUACACAUGCAAGUCGAACGGCAGCACGGGUGCUUGCACCUGGUGGCGAGUGGCGAACGGGUGAGUAAUACAUCGGAACGUACCUUAUCGUGGGGGAUAACGCAGCGAAAGCUGUGCUAAUACCGCAUACGCCCUGAGGGGGAAAGCGGGGGAUCGAGAGACCUCGCGCGAUUAGAGCGGCCGAUGCCUGAUUAGCUUGUUGGUGGGGUAAAAGCCCACCAAGGCGACGAUCAGUAGCUGGUCUGAGAGGACGAUAAGCCACACUGGGACUAAGACACGGCCCAGACUCCUACGGGAGGCAGCAGUGGGGAAUUUUGGACAAUGGGGGCAACCCUGAUCCAGCAAUGCCGCGUGAGUGAAGAAGGCCUUCGGGUUGUAAAGCUCUUUUGUCAGGGAAGAAACACCGGCUCUAACACAGUCCGGGAAUGACGGUACCUGAAGAAUAAGCACCGGCUAACUACGUGCCAGCAGCCGCCGUAA